rnacentral:rRNA from 1 species
AGUCGGGGGGGGUAGACGCGAAACCGAGUGAUCUACCCUUGGCCAGGUUGAAGGUUGGGUAACACCAACUGGAGGACCGGAUGGGUAAGCGUUGAAAAGCUUUCCAAUGAGCUGAGGGUAGGGGUGAAAGGCUAAUCAAACUCGGAGAUAGCUCGUACUCCCCGAAAUGCAUUUAGGUGCAGCCUCUUUAUAGUAUAUCGUGAGGUAGAGCGACUGAUUGGAUGCGAGGGCUUCACCGCCUAUCAAGUCCAGAUAAACUCCGAAUGCGCGAUAUAUAUUUACAGGGAGUGAGGGCGCGGGUGCUAAGGUCCGUGUCCGAGAGGAGAAGAAUCCAGACCACCGGCUAAGGCCCCCAAAUGAUCGUUAAGUUGAACUAACGAGGUCGGAUCGCAGAGACAGCUAGGAUGUUGGCUUGGAAGCAGCCAUUCAUUUAAAGAGUGCGUAACAGCUCACUAGUCGAGCGAUCUGGCGUGGAUAAUAAUCGGGCAUAAACGAUCUGCCGAAGCCGUGGAUGUCGCAAGACAUGGUAGGGGAGCAUUCCAUGCGGCGUCGAAGAUGAGGGAUGACCCUUGUUGGAGCGCAUGGAAAAGCAAAUGUAGGUAUGAGUAACGAUAAGGGGGGCGAGAAACCCCCCCGCCGAAAGACCAAGGUUUCCUGAUCAACGCUAAUCGGAUCAGGGUGAGUCGGGACCUAAGGCAAAGCCGAACGGCGCCGCCGAUGGAAGAAUGGGUUAAUAUUCCCAUACUGCCUCAUGGAGUGACGUGGAGACGGAGAAGUGACAGUCCUGCCGGCUGACGGAAUAGCCGGUUGAAGGGUGUAGAUAUUGAUUCCCGUAGGCAAAUCCGCGGGGAGAGUCGAACCUGAGAGUAUACGGAGCGCUUGCGCAACGUAAUAUGGACGUAACCAUGCUCCCGAGAAAAUCCGCUAAACUUAUCCAUGCGGCACCCGUACCGUAAACGGACACACGUGGUCGGGUUGAGAAUACUGAGGCGCUCGAGUGAUUCACGGUUAAGGAACUAGGCAAAUUGACCCUGUAACUUCGGGAUAAAGGGUCCUCGUCGUAAGGCGAGGCGCAGAGAAUAGGUCCAGGCAACUGUUUAACAAAAACACAUGGCUGUGCUAAAUGGAAACAUGAUGUAUACAGCCUGACACCUGCCCGGUGCCGGAAGGUUAAGAGGAGAUGUCAAAUUGAAGCCCCGGUAAACGGCGGCCGUAACUAUAACGGUCCUAAGGUAGCGAAAUUCCUUGUCGGGUAAGUUCCGACCUGCACGAAUGGUGUAACGAUUUGAGCACUGUCUCGACCACGUACUCGGUGAAAUUGUAGUAACGGUGAAGAUGCCGUUUACCCGCAAUGGGACGAAAAGACCCCGUGAACCUUUACUAUAGCUUUACAUUGUAUUUGGGUAUCAGAUGUGUAGGAUAGGCCGGAGGCUAAGAUGUGGCGUCGCCAGAUGUCAUGGAGUCAUUGGUGAAAUACGGCCCUUUUGGUAUUUGAAUACUAACUCGCGAGUUGCGAGGACAAUGUAUGGUGGGUAGUUUGACUGGGGCGGUCGCCUCCAAAAAAGUAUCGGAGGCUUCUAAAGGUACCCUCAAGACGAUUGGUAACCGUCUGUAAGAGUGUAAUGGCAGAAGGGUGCUUGACUGGGAGACUAACAAGUCGCACAGGUAGGAAACUAGAGCAUAGUGAUCCGGUGGUUCCGCAUGGUAGGGCCAUCGCUCAAAGGAUAAAAGGUACUCCGGGGAUAACAGGCUGAUCACUCCCAAGAGCUCAUAUCGACGGAGUGGUUUGGCACCUCGAUGUCGGCUCGUCACAUCCUGGGGCUGGAGAAGGUCCCAAGGGUUGGGCUGUUCGCCCA